rnacentral:rRNA from 1 species
CAAUAGCGUAUAUUUAAGUUGUUGCAGUUAAAAAGCUCGUAGUUGGAUUUCUGCUGAUCGCUGUCGGUCUGCCGUCAGGUGUGUACUGGCAGUGUUUGGCAUCUAUUCGAGAUUGGGUGUCCACUUGAUUGUGUGCACUCGAUGUCGGAGCUAAUACUUUGAGAAAAUUAGAGUGUUCCACACAGGCGCGUGCCUUGAAUACUGCAGCAUGGGAUAUUGGAAGGCCGAUUGAGCUUUCUUGUUGGUUCUCGGUUUGAUCGGAAUGAUUAAUAGGGAUAGUUGGGGGCAUUCGUAUUCAACUGUCAGAGGUGAAAUUCUUGGAUUUGUUGAAGACGGACUACUGCGAAAGCAUCUGCCAUGGAUGUUCUCAUUGA